rnacentral:rRNA from 1 species
GUAGGUGGCGAGCGUUGUCCGGAAUUAUUGGGCGUAAAGCGCGCGCAGGCGGUUCUUUAAGUCUGAUGUGAAAGCCCACGGCUCAACCGUGGAGGGUCAUUGGAAACUGGAGAACUUGAGUACAGAAGAGGAAAGCGGAAUUCCACGUGUAGCGGUGAAAUGCGUAGAGAUGUGGAGGAACACCAGUGGCGAAGGCGGCUUUCUGGUCUGUAACUGACGCUGAGGCGCGAAAGCGUGGGGGAGCAAACAGGAUUAGAUACCCUGGUAGUCCACGCCGUAAACCGAUGAGUGCUAAGUGUUAGGGGGUUUCCGCCCCUUAGUGCUGCAGCUAACGCAUUAAGCACUCCGCCUGGGAGUACGGCCGCAAGGCUG